rnacentral:rRNA from 1 species
GAUGAACGCUGGCGGCGUGCCUAAUACAUGCCAGUCGAGCGAACAGACGAGGAGCUUGCUCCUCUGACGUUAGCGGCGGACGGGUGAGUAACACGUGGAUAACCUACCUAUAAGACUGGGAUAACUUCGGGAAACCGGAGCUAAUACCGGAUAAUAUAUUGAACCGCAUGGUUCAAUAGUGAAAGACGGUUUUGCUGUCACUUAUAGAUGGAUCCGCGCCGCAUUAGCUAGUUGGUAAGGUAACGGCUUACCAAGGCGACGAUGCGUAGCCGACCUGAGAGGGUGAUCGGCCACACUGGAACUGAGACACGGUCCAGACUCCUACGGGAGGCAGCAGUAGGGAAUCUUCCGCAAUGGGCGAAAGCCUGACGGAGCAACGCCGCGUGAGUGAUGAAGGUCUUCGGAUCGUAAAACUCUGUUAUUAGGGAAGAACAAAUGUGUAGUAACUAUGCACGUCUUGACGGUACCUAAUCAGAAAGCCACGGCUAACUACGUG